rnacentral:rRNA from 1 species
UACAGAGGUCGUCAACCGUUGUUCGGAUUUAUUGGGCGUAAAGGGUGCGUAGGCGGUCGGGUAAGUCGGAUGUGAAAUCCCAGGGCUCAACCCUGGGAACUGCCAUUCGAUACUGCCUGGCUAGGGGUACUGGAGAGGAGACGUGGAAUUUACGGUGUAGCAGUGAAAUGCGUAGAUAUCGUAAGGAAGACCAGUGGCGAAGGCGAGUCUCUGGACAGUUACCGACGCUGAGGCACGAAGGUCAGGGGAGCAAACGGG